rnacentral:rRNA from 1 species
GACGAACGCUGGCGGCGUGCCUAAUACAUGCAAGUCGAGCGCGGGAAGCAGGCAGACCUCCUUCGGGAGAGACGCUUGUGGAACGAGCGGCGGACGGGUGAGUAACACGUAGGCAACCUACCUGUAAGCCUGGGAUAACUCCGGGAAACCGGGGCUAAUACCGGAUAGGCACCGUUUGCGCAUGCGGAUGGUGUGAAAGGCGGGGCAACCUGCCGCUUACAGAUGGGCCUGCGGCGCAUUAGCUAGUUGGUGAGGUAACGGCUCACCAAGGCGACGAUGCGUAGCCGACCUGAGAGGGUGACCGGCCACACUGGGACUGAGACACGGCCCAGACUCCUACGGGAGGCUG